UUGAAACUGGAAUGCCGAAGA
rnacentral:siRNA from 1 species